rnacentral:rRNA from 1 species
GAUGAACGCUGGCGGCGUGCCUAAUACAUGCAAGUAGAACGCUGAAGGAGGAGCUUGCUCUUCUGGAUGAGUUGCGAACGGGUGAGUAACGCGUAGGUAACCUGCCUGGUAGCGGGGGAUAACUAUUGGAAACGAUAGCUAAUACCGCAUGACAACAGUUAUUGCAUGAUAACUGUUUAAAAGGGGCAACUGCUCCACUACCAGAUGGACCUGCGUUGUAUUAGCUAGUUGGUGAGGUAACGGCUCACCAAGGCGACGAUACAUAGCCGACCUGAGAGGGUGAUCGGCCACACUGGGACUGAGACACGGCCCAGACUCCUACGGGAGGCAGCAGUAGGGAAUCUUCGGCAAUGGACGGAAGUCUGACCGAGCAACGCCGCGUGAGUGAAGAAGGUUUUCGGUUCGUAAAGCUCUGUUGUAAGAGAAGAACGAGUGUGAGAGUGGAAAGUUCACACUGUGACGGUAUCUUACCAGAAAGGGACGGCUAACUACGUG